AACUACGCAGAAAGCUGAGAAUUUCAUCUUGAGUAAUCGGGUUUGCUGAAUAGUAACAGUUUCCAUUUCGUUGGAUCCUUCAUCAGUCUCCAACUGUAGCAGAAGUCCCAUAGGUUUAAGGCGUGCAUUCUGGACACCCGUACAGGUAGUAUCGUACCAAAUCAUCUCCAUAUUUCUAUCCAUAACCCGAUACAUUUGGAAUCUACAGAAGAUAUAAACAUUGUUCGCUAUUCUUCAGCCUCCAGUAGUUUGUUUCAUAUUUCCAUAUUUGAGGCGCAUAACAUGAGACAUUUGAAUUAGUUUCAAUGGAAGAGCUGCAGUAGAAGAAUGAUAAGUAUAUUUGUUCCUCACUCCACAUGUCAUUCCAUAUUAUUCAUCUUUAUUAAAAAUAUCCUCAGUUCUUAAAGAACUAUUCAAUAAUUCCAUAAAUGAUCUCGAGCAACGGAUGUGUGUUGAACCAAUGAAUGAGUAAAUAAUCAUUUUGGAUGUGUUAAAGGACAUCUGCACAAUGAAUGAUACUUCCAUUAAAUGAGAUGAAAUCCACCAAGUAAGGCACGCAAACCUUUUCUAAAGAGAUGAGAUCCUUAAACAUCAUGGAUAUCCCAAUGUCAUCAACAGAUAUGAGUUCAAUGGCCCUAUAAGUGAACUCCAAUUAAUAUAUCUGGAUGUUCUGACAAAAAGAUCCAUCCAAACCAUUCUUGUUAUCUUAGAAAUCAUUAAUUUAACGUAUAUUUCACUAUAUUGUCCAAAAGUAAAUCAUACUAACUGUUGUCACAAAGUAGUACUAAUUUAUUAUAUUCAUUCUUCCUUUACCCCCAUGAAGUAGUUUGGGUUUUCUGGCUCUUCUUAUUCUCUGUUGCUUAGAUAUUAUUGUUUUAAGUGUUUUUAGUUUCAAAAAUAUUUCAAGACUUUCAAAUUAUAUCAAGCAUAAACUUAUAGCCUCUAAAAAUAACAGUAUGCCCUUAUUUGUCUUUUUUGUUGCUUGUCUUGUGAUCUGAUUCAUAUAUUUUAUUAUUAGCUGAGAUAAUAGCAGUUUCAAUGAAAUAGUAUAUAGUGAGCUAUUAAAUGUCCCUUGAUUCAAAAGUAAUUGCUUUAUAUUAAGUAGUUUGUUAAGUAAAGUCGUUAUAUUAAGUAUUUAGUUAUAUAAAGUCGUUACUAUUAGCUACUGGAAAAGUUAUGUUACACAGGAAAUAUAUAAUAAUUAAGCGUUACUUCCCAAAACUGAUCAGGGUUAAAUUUUGUGACAUACAAGCAUUUUUAAUGUUCAAGAAAAAUGGCCUGUUGCAACUGUGUCUUGUCUCCCAAAAUUGAUAUAUUCACUCAAAAUAAUUUUAUUGUGAUAUAUUUGUCUUGUGUAUCUACAUAUACAAAAUAUAUGUAGCAUAUAAUUUAUUCAUUACAAAAUUGAUUACCAGGGAAAAAAAUGGUCAUUUUGACGGAAAAAUAUAAUAUAGUUUGUAUUUAUAUAGAACAUAGUAACAUAAGUACAUAAGGAUAACAUUUUGAAACAAAUGAAAAUAUAUCUAUUAUACGGUGGUCAUUCAUUUCCGUGUACUUAUUUUCAGUGGUUAUUUUCAGCGACAUCUAAAUUCCUUAUUUCUGUUGAUUUUCAUACAUAGUAAAAUAAUAUUGUUAACCUAAACGAUAAUUUUUUUACAUUUAACAAUACAUAAUGACCCAAAUCUUGUCAAAAUAUUCCAUAUUUUAUUGAAUGCGAUUGAAUUAAUUUUCUAUAAUAUAGUUUCUAUUGAUUUAAGAUAAUUUCAAUCGGUGUAUAAUAUGAUACAAGUCAUUAAUAAUUUCAUUUAUUUGUCAAUUAAUUAUAUUUCAAAAUCUAUUUUAAUUUAAAUAGUAUUACUAUAAGUAUAUUUUCUGUUAUUUAUUUUCAGAAAAUAAAUGUAAUAUUAUUUAGAUAUGAUCAGAAUAACUAGCAUUUAUAGCAGAUAUAUUUAAAAGACGUCGGAAUUUCACUGCUUCUUAAAGAAACCUGUUGAAUUGAUUGUUAAUCUUAACAUUAAUUUAUUAAAGUUGUGAGCAAAGUUUAUUCCCUUUGACUGUCAUGACUGUUCAUAGCUAAUUUAAUAAACGCCAUAACAACUAAGCUACUAACCUCUCAAACAUUCUUUAUAUUGUUUAAACUCACAAUCAGAGUUAUUUCCUUUUAGCUAUUUUUAAUAAUUUUUCAUGAGUUUACUUUUUUUACGAUUGACAGCCACUGACGAAUCUACGUAUUAUGAACUCUAAAAGAGUAUAGGAUUUGAAUUUUAUUCUUUUAUAUAAAUCAUGAAUGCAUGUAUGUCACAAAAUUUAACCCUGAUCAGGUUUGGGAAGUAACGCUUAGUUAUUAUAUAUUUCCUGUAUAACAUAACUUUUCCAGUAGCUAAUAGUAACGACUUUAUAUUACUUAAGGCUUAAUAUAACGACUUUACUUAACAAACUUCGUUUAGAAUUCGUGUCCUUCUUCAUUAAUAAAAAUAUAUUAUUAUGAAUAAUUAUUCUCUCUAUAAUAAUUAUUGACAGUUUCCCACAAGAAAAAAAUAGAAAAGACUACCCACCUUUGAUUUUUCAAAUGUUGCCUUUCUCUUUCGACAGUCGAGUUUGAGAGUGGAUAAAAAAGCUUGACGGGAUUAUCUUUAAUUUUUGGUUUCUUUUGUUUUUACAUACCAGUAGGUCAUAAAUUAUACAACAAUAUCAAUUUGUAUCUUUCUUCUCUGCAACUUAAAACAGAAGGUUAAUUCACCUAUGUUCAUUGUACAAUGUAAAUAUUAUGUGUAGUAAUAUUAUGUAAUAAAGUCAAUAUCGAUUUUUUUUUCUUAA
rnacentral:lncRNA from 1 species